GGUAACGCGGUGCCGGGAGCCGCGGUAAUACGGGGGGUGUAAGCUGUUACCGGAUUUAUUGGAUGUAAAGGGUCCGGAGGCGGACCGGUAAGUCAGUGGGGAAAGCCUACAGCUUAACGGUAGAACUGCCGUUGAUACUGUCGGUCUUGAGUGUGGUUGAGGUAGCUGGAAUGAGUAGUGUAGCGGUGAAAUGCAUAGAUAUUACUCAGAACACCAAUUGCGAAGGCAGGUUACCAAGUCACAACUGACGCUGAUGGACGAAAGCGUGGGGAGCGAACAGGAUUAGAUACCCUUGUAGUC
rnacentral:rRNA from 1 species